GUUUAAAUUGUAGUACUAGAAGUAGUAUGAUAAGAAGUCAAGUCGUGAUACUAGUAGUCAUGUCAGCAGUAGAAGUAGAUUGAGAAUAAAAGAAGUAUAAGUCAAAGUAGUAAAGAAAGUAGAAAUAGGAGCAAUAGCAGUUGAAGUAGAGGGGAAAGUUCUAGUUUAAUUGACAUUAGCAGUAGUUGUCGUACUUGAGGUAGGAUUUUGUUUGAAUGAUGGAGUAAUGCAUAAAUAUUAAAACUAAUUUAAAACAGGGAAAUUUUAAAUUAUCAAAAGUCCUCAAGUAUCAGAAAGUUUUGAAGUAUUAGAAAGGUUUGAAUCAGUUUGAAUGAGUUUAAAUUAGUUUGAAAAAUUAAAUGAUAAAUCAUCACUGUCUGACUUUUAAAAUGUGAAAAAUUUAAAUGAAUAACAAUCCUAAAUACACCCAAUAAUGUCCUCAAUGAGCUUAAAUUUCAAAGCCCUGAAUGGUUUCUGUAGGUCAAAGGUCAUGUGAGGAGAUAGGGGCUGAAGUUUUUUCCAACGCUCUAGGAAAGGGUUUUAAGUGUCAUCCCAAUUGCUAUGUGUACUGAGCCUGGCUUCAUGUGUCUCAUAUGGCCACUAGAAGCAGCUUUCCAGUCAGCUGUGUGUCUCCAGGUGCACAAAUUGGUUGCCAUGGGGACCUUGGAUGCAUAACUAUAGCAGGAGAAAGAAGGCUUGAAGCUAAGGAAACAGGACUCCAAGUUGGCCCUGACGCUCACCCUCUGUAUAUAUUCAUAAGGAGCUUGUGAGAACACAAGAUUUUGCUGAACACAUUAAUACAAUUUAUUAUCACAAUCCUCAAAACACCCCAUAAUAUCUUCAAUGAGCUGAAUUUUUCAAGCCCAGAAUGGUUUCUGUAGCUCAAAGUUUGUGGGUGGAGAUAGGUGGUGAAGCAGACACAUAUUAACUGUGUGUACAAGCAGCUGAACUGCAAGGUAGACCUCACAAAGCAAUGAGUACAAGAAUGUGUGUGCGUGUGAGUGUGUGUGUCUUGUUAAUGACUGCAUCCUAAACAGCUGUGAGAUCAAAGGCAAAUCACUGACCUACUGUUUGAAUGAGAAGCAGGUGAACUGCAGAGGAUUUGAAGCCUGUGAACUUCUUCACAUAGCGUGAUUUCCUUAAAUCCCAGAAUGAAAAUAAGAACAUCGUACGAAUCCUCCGUCCUUCAUGAACACAAUGAUGUGUUUUUCAUGUCUGUACUUCGAAAAAUGAGGCCACAACAGCGAGUUAAAAAAGUCUGAGCCUGAGCGAUGAUCCGGAUUUUCUUGGAGAAAAAUAACAUUAUGGUCAAUGGGAGAGAUUUCCGCCUUUUUUGGACAGUUGGUCACCUCCUGCCCAAGGGGUACGAUUUAAUGAUUUGAAACCUCUUUUGUGAGAAGCAGGACACAUAUACCUCCAUUUUGAUGUAUUAUUUGUGUCAGUGGAGUGAGAUUUGUGGGCGUGGGAGCGAUAUAUUCGAGCGAGGUUCUGUCGAUCAGAGACGAGGUCUGCACUCUAGCUGAUGACAUCAUCACUCUAAACUCUCCAAUACACACCCAUUAUAAAGCUUGAAAUUUGCUGAAAACCACAAGUUGCUUAAAGCUAAAUUGUGGAAAAACUGUAACAGAUAUCAAAAAACUGAGUACAACUAUAAUAGUCGACAAGUGAAUGAACAUUUUAAAGCAAAAAUGAGGUCUCUAGGUGAAAGUAUGCUGAAGUUAUAAGGUCUAGAAGGUGGAAGAAUAAAAGGAAGGAGUGGAAGAUUUCCCCAUUGACUUUAAUGUUAAAAUUUUUGCACAAAAAGUUAAAAAAAACAAAAAGUAUAAAAGGUAGAAAAGUAAAAAGUACAAGCAAACAUGUCCUGAAGGAGUGGAAUAGUUUAAAGUUUGAACGGUUGAAAUCGCACAAACUGGGAAGGAGUUGAAAGCGGACGAAAAACGGCGGAAGAAUAAUAAGUUUAAUAAUAAUAAUAAUAAUAAUAAAGAAACAGGAGAAUAACAAUAAGUGGAAAUGCCUAUCAGCAUUUCCACUUAACUAGAAAAUGCAAUUUCUGAAGAAAUUGCGAGUGGGAUUGCUUCAGUUGAAAUUGCUAUCGCUACGCUGCUAUUGCGAGUGGCUGAAUUUUAAAAUAUGUGAAAGGUCAAAAGGUAUGAAGUAUCAGGAAGAUUUGAAUCAGUUUGAAUAAACUCUGUUGAAUGAAUUGAAUAAUGCAUGAAUAAUAAUUUUAAAAAUUCAACGUUUGAAAAUUAAAAUGAUUAAAAACCCUGAAGUAUGGGAAAGGCUUGAAGAAUCAAUAAGGUUUGAAUCAGUUUAAAUGAGCUGUAAUUUGUUUGAAAGAACUGAAUCAUGCAUUAAGAUUAAAAAAUGAUUUAAAACUGGGAAAUUAAAAGGUUACAAAUCUGGAAGAAAAAAGUCUUGAAGAAUCAAAACGGUUUAAAUCAGUUUGAAGGAGUUUAAAUUAGUUUGAAGAAUUAAAUAAUGCAUUUUCAAUGAAUGAUUGAAAAAUGGGGACAAUGUAAAUGAAUAAAAAUCCUGAUUAGACCCCAUAAUGUCCUCAAUGAGCUAAAUUUAUUAAGCUCUGGAUGGUUUCUGUAGCUCAAGGUUUGUGCGAAGAGAUAGAUGACAAAUUUCGUCAAAUAACGCUAUUGAAGGGUUUUAAAUGUAACCCCCAGUACUCUGUGUACUGAGCCUGGCUUCAUGUGUCUCAUAUGGCUGUUAGAAGCAGCUUUCCAGCCAGCUGUGUGUCUCCAGGUGCGCUUAUUGGUUGCCAUGGUGACGAUAGAUGCUUAACAACAGCAGGAGAAAGGAGGCUUGAGGCCGAGAACGUAAUGCCCAAACAACGUCAUAUUUCUCAUCCUCUGUAACUGCUGUCUUCAUGAUAAGGAGCUUGUGACAACCACAAGGCCCGGCUGAACACAUUGAUACAACUUCUGUGUUUGUGGAGCCAAAAAUGCCUUUGCUACGACAAGUUAAAAACAUGUCCAGUUUGUGUUUCCUCUGAAAAUCCUCCUCUCAGGUUUACAUUGGAGUCAAUGGAGAAAGCUGGAGAAAUCUGGGGGAUGUCUGCGGCAGUUGGUGUCUGCCCGGGCCACUGUGUGUGUCCUAUGGCUUUGAUUUUUUAGAUGAAGAGUGACAGCGAGUUUUGCCAUCACUGUACCAAAUUUUAUCUGUGUAGAGCGAAGUGAGUUGCCACAAUCCUUUUGUAAAGACAAAGUUUUGAGGAUCAAUUUUCAGCCUGUCUCACUCUAGCUGUGAGGUCACCCACUCUAGCGGCCAACAUUCCGUGCAAUACACACUCAUGUUAAAACCUGAACAGGUUAGAAAAUCUUUGGACUUUUUGAACUGUCACUGUGAGAAAAGUAUGAAUGCCAUGAAGAUGGUGAAUGAAUGAGUGAAUGUCUGAAGAUGUGUGAAUAUUUUAAAGUUUGAAUGAAGUUUCUAGGUGAAAGUAUGAAUGAAUGAGAAGAGGUUGAAGUUGACUACGUCUGAAGCCCUUUUCCCAUUGACUGCCAUUAUAACGAAGUUUUAAACUAAUCUUUAUAUUUUGAAAAGUACAAAUGGGAUUAAAAAUGUUGAAGAUGUGGAAUAAUGCUGACGAAUUUGUGAAUAUUUUGGUUUUUGAAUGAAGUUUCUACGUGGAAGUAUAGAGGAGUUGAAGGCUUUUGAAGUUGUGUGAAGAAAAGGGCCAAUUUGAACAUUCCGUAAUGCAUUUCUAAUGGGAGAAAUCGGUCGGAAAACCUGGAAUAUCUUGGAAAGUAUGAAUGUUAGGAAAAUUUUGAAUACACCCCUGAAUGUCCUCAAUGAGAUGAAUCUUUUGAUGUUUGAAUGGUUUGAAUAUGUUGAAGUAUGUGGAAGUAGUUGAGGGCCAAAAAACGGUGGAAGUUGAUAUAAUAAUAAUAAAGAUAUGAAUAACAUAUAGUGGGAAUGCUUUGCAAUCCCACUCAAUAAUAAGUUUAAUAAAGAAACAGGAGAAUAACAAUAAGUGGAAAUGCCUAUCAGCAUUUCCACUUAACUAGAAAAAUUGCAUUUCCUUGCAGAAAAUGCGUGGAAAUGCUGAGUGCUGAAAGCUGAAAAAGCAAUGCUAAACUGCUAAUAAAACAUGGAGAAAGGUAUAAAUGUUAAAGCUGUUGAAGGGGUGAACAGAAAUAUAAGUUGGAUAAUUGAUUAAUUGGUUGAAGGACAAAUAGUAUGAAUAUGCUCUAUAAAAGGAAAUUUUAUUCAUGCUGAAAGAGGCUAGAAAAAUGUCGAAAAUUGCACAAAGUUUGAAUGAAGAAGGAAAUUGCCUUAAAAGGCAGGAAGGUGAGAAGUGGCACAAGUUUAAAUUGUAGUACUAGAAGUAGUAUGAUAAGAAGUCAAGUCGUGAUACUAGUAGUCAUGUCAGCAGUAGAAGUAGAUUGAGAAUAAAAGAAGUAUAAGUCAAAGUAGUAAAGAAAGUAGAAAUAGGAGCAAUAGCAGUUGAAGUAGAGGGGAAAGUACUAGUUUAAUUGACAUUAGCAGUAGUUGUCGUACUUGAGGUAGGAUUUUGUUUGAAUGAUGGAGUAAUGCAUAAAUAUUAAAACUAAUUUAAAACAGGGAAAUUUUAAAUUAUCAAAAGUCCUCAAGUAUCAGAAAGUUUUGAAGUAUUAGAAAGGUUUGAAUCAGUUUGAAUGAGUUUAAAUUAGUUUGAAAAAUUAAAUGAUAAAUCAUCACUGACUGACUUUUAAAAUGUGAAAAAUUUAAAUGAAUAACAAUCCUAAAUACACCCAAUAAUGUCCUCAAUGAGCUUAAAUUUCAAAGCCCUGAAUGGUUUCUGUAGGUCAAAGGUCAUGUGAGGAUAUAGGGGCUGAAGUUUUUUCCAACGCUCUAGAAAAGGGUUUUAAGUGUCAUCCCAAUUGCUAUGUGUACUGAGCCUGGCUUCAUGUGUCUCAUAUGGCCACUAGAAGCAGCUUUCCAGUCAGCUGUGUGUCUCCAGGUGCACAAAUUGGUUGCCAUGGGGACCUUGGAUGCAUAACUAUAGCAGGAGAAAGAAGGCUUGAAGCUAAAGAAACAGGACUCCAAGUAGGCCCUGACGCUCACCCUCUGUAUAUAUUCAUAAGGAGCUUGUGAGAACAAGACUCUGCUGAACACAUUAAUACAAUUUAUUAUCACAAUCCUCAAAACACCCCAUAAUAUCUUCAAUGAGCUGAAUUUUUGAAGCCCAGAAUGGUUUCUGUAGCUCAAAGUUUGUGGGUGGAGAUAGGUGGUGAAGCAGACACAUAUUAUCUGUGUGUACAAGCAGCUGAACUGCAAGGUGGACCUCAAAAAGCAACAAGUACAAGAAUGUGUGUGCGUGUGUGUGUGUGUGUGUCUCGUUAAUGACUGCAUCCUAAACAGCUGUGAGAUCAAAGGCAAAUCACUAACCUACUGUUUGACUGAGAGGUGCUGAACUGCAGUGAAUUUCAGCCUGUGAACUUCUUCACAUAGCGUGAUUUCCUUAAGUCCCAGAAUGAAAAUAAGAACAUCGUACGAAUCCUCCGCCCUUCAUGAACACAAUGAUGUGUUUUUCAUGUCUGUACUUCGAAAAAUGAGGCCACAACAGCGAGUUAAAAAUGUCUGAGCCUGAGCGAUGAUCCGGAUUUUCCUGGAGAAAAAUAACAUUAUGGUCAAUGGGAGAGAUUUCCGCCUUUUUUGGACAGUUGGUCACCUGCUUGCCAAGGGGUACGAUUUAAUGAUUUGAAACCUCUUUUGUGAGAAGCAGGACACAUAUACCUCCAUUUUGAUGUAUUAUUUGUGUCAGUGGAGUGAGAUUUGUGGGCGUGGGAGCGAUAUAUUCGAGCAAGGUUCUGUCGAUCAGAGACGAGGUCUGCACUCUAGCUGAUGACAUCGUCACUCUAAACUCUCCAAUACACACCCAUUAUAAAGCUUGAAAUUUGCUGAAAACCACAAGUUGCUUAAAGCUAAAUUGUGGAAAAACAGUACAAGAUAUCAAAAAACUGAGUACAACUUUAAUAGUCAACAAGUGAAUGAACAUUUUAAAGCAAAAAUGAGGUCUCUAGGUGAAAGUAUGCUGAAGUUAUAAGGUCUAGAAGGUGGAAGAAUGAAAGGAAGAAGUUGAAGAUUUCCCCAUUGACUUCAAUGUUAAAAUUUUUGCACAAAAAGUUAAAAAAAACAAAAAGUAUAAAGGGUAGAAAGAAAAAAAAUAGACGCCAUCAUGUCCUGAAGGAGUGGAAUAGUUGAAAGUUUGAACGGUUGAAAUCGGACAAAGUUUGAAGGAGGAGAAGCGGUCCAAAAAUCGGCGGAAGAAUAAUAAGUUUAAUAAAGAACAGAAUAAUAAGUGGAAAUGCUGAUUAAGCAUUUCCACUUAACUAGAAAAAUUGCAUUUCCUUGCAGAAAAUGCGUGGAAAUGCUGAGUGCUGAAAACUGAAAAAGCAAUGCAAAACUGUCAAUAAAAAAUGGAGGAAGGUAUGAAUGCAUGCAGUGAAUGAAUUGCAGUAUGCAGCAUCCAACCAUAGUAACUUGAGAAUGCAGAACAGCACCAUCUAUUGCCCUGCUUCAGUUACUGCCCUACAUCUGAAUGUAGAAAGUAUGAAACAGCUGAAGUUAAAUUAAUUGUCUAAUGUAGAAAGUAUAGAAAAGAAAAGCAAAAGUAGAAGAAAAAGAAGAAGUUAGUAUGUUAAAAGAGUUAAAGACAAUAACUGUAACAACAAAGUUAAUAUUGGGGGUGUAUUUUCUACUGACAGAGAGACAGUAAUGCACACAUGGAAACAGUGUGUGUGUGUGUGUGUGUGCGCGCGCGCAUGUGCGUGUGUGUGCCCGCGCGCACGAGCGGCCGAGCCCGUGCGUGUGUGAUCGAAGCACACAGCCCAUGACAAGUGCAGAAUCUCUGGCUCUGAAGGAAUGUACUCACCUCCUGGGCAAACUGUACAAUUUCAUGACUUCAGAUCUAUUUUGUGAGAAGCAGGACGAGUGUACCUCCAUUUUGAUGUGUUUUUUAUGGCUGUGGAGUGAAAAUUUCGGCCGUGGCAGCAGAAUAAUCAUGCUUGGUCUAGUGAAUCCAAAAGGCUCCGCCCGCAUCUAGUGAUGACGUCACACGCUGUAGCGUGAGUCAGGCUGAAAAAGGCAGAAAACUUCAUGUUGCUCCAAGCGAAAUUGUGCAAAAACAGUAGGAAAUAGCAAAAAGGAGUGAAUACAACGUUUGUAGCAGACACGUUGCUGAACAUUUUAAAGCAAAAAUGAGGUCUGUAGGUGAAAGUAUGCAGAAGUUAUAAGGGUGAGAAGGUGUUAUAGCUGUAUCUCCAUUCAUUUGUAAUGGAACAAAUUUUGCAGAAAAAGUGAAAUAUUGCAAAAAGUAUAAAUGGUAGAAAGGUGAAAAGUAAUAGCAAUAAUGUCCUGAAGGAGUGCAUUAGUAUAAAGUUUGAAUGGUUCAAAUAGCACAAAGUGGUAAGGAGUUGAAAAGGGCCAAAAAAGGUACGGAAGAAUAAUAAUAAGAAAAAAAAUAAUAAUAAUAAAGAAAUAGUAGAAUAACAAUAAGUGGAAAUGCUGUGUCAGCAUUUCCACUUAACUAGAAAAAUUGCAUUUCCUUGCAGAAAAUGCGUGGAAAUGCUGAGUGCUGAAAGCUGAAAAAGCAAUGCUAAACUGCUAAUAAAACAUGGAGAAAGGUAUAAAUGUUAAAGCUGUUGAAGGGGUGAACAGAAAUAUAAGUUGGAUAAUUGAUUAAUUGGUUGAAGGACAAAUAGUAUGAAUAUGCUCUAUAAAAGGAAAUUUUAUUCAUGCUGAAAGAGGCUAGAAAAAUGUCGAAAAUUGCACAAAGUUUGAAUGAAGAAGGAAAUUGCCUUAAAAGGCAGGAAGGUGAGAAGUGGCAUAAGUUUAAAUUGUAGUACUAGAAGUAGUAUGAUAAGAAGUCAAGUCGUGAUACUAGUAGUCAUGUCAGCUGUAGAAGUAGAUUGAGAAUAAAAGAAGUAUAAGUCAAAGUAGUAAAGAAAGUAGAAAUAGGAGCAAUAGCAGUUGAAGUAGAGGGGAAAGUUCUAGUUUAAUUGACAUUAGCAGUAGUUGUCGUACUUGAGGUAGGAUUUUGUUUGAAUGAUGGAGUAAUGCAUAAAUAUUAAAACUAAUUUAAAACAGGGAAAUUUUAAAAGUAUUAGAAAGGUUUGAAUCAGUUUGAAUGAGUUUAAAUUAGUUUGAAAAAUUAAAUGAUAAAUCAUCACUGAGUGACUUUAAAAUGUGAAAAAUUUAAAUGAAUAACAAUCCUAAAUACACCCAAUAAUGUCCUCAAUGAGCUUAAAUUUCAAAGCCCUGAAUGGUUUCUGUAGGUCAAAGGUCAUGUGAGGAGAUAGGGGCUGAAGUUUUUUCCAACGCUCUAGGAAAGGGUUUUAAGUGUCAUCCCAAUUGCUAUGUGUACUGAGCCUGGCUUCAUGUGUCUCAUAUGGCCACUAGAAGCAGCUUUCCAGUCAGCUGUGUGUCUCCAGGUGCACAAAUUGGUUGCCAUGGG